rnacentral:rRNA from 1 species
GGCUUAAAAGCGUUAGUAGACUUCGGUCUGCUACCUCUUACCCAUGUCUUUUGAGUACCUUCGUUUCCUCGGCGGGUCCGCCCGCCGAUUGGACAACAUUCAAACCCUUUGCAGUUGCAAUCAGCGUCUGAAAAAACAUAAUAGUUACAACUUUCAACAACGGAUCUCUUGGUUCUGGCAUCGAUGAAGAACGCAGCGAAAUGCGAUAAGUAGUGUGAAUUGCAGAAUUCAGUGAAUCAUCGAAUCUUUGAACGCACAUUGCGCCCCUUGGUAUUCCAUGGGGCAUGCCUGUUCGAGCGUCAUUUGUACCUUCAAGCUCUGCUUGGUGUUGGGUGUUUUGUCUCGCCUCUGCGUGUAGACUCGCCUUAAAACAAUUGGCAGCCGGCGUAUUGAUUUCGGAGCGCAGUACAUCUCGCGCUUUGCACUCAUAACGGCGACGUCCAAAAGUACAUUUUUACACUCUUGACCUCGGAUCAGGUAGGGAUACCCGCUGAACUUAAGCAUAUCAAUAAGGCGGAGGAAAA